GAUGUAUAAAGAUAAAGUGCUUUGUUCCAUAAAAUAGCUUUAAGUUUUCCUACCUUGUUAAGUUGGCAAGCAAAAUGUAAUGUGGCAGCCACUGUUUUGUUAAAGCCAAGGAUAUGAAUUAGAAAUGAUUUAAUAUACUUUUUUUUUUUAAUUCACGUGUAGAUCUAAAGUAUUUAAAAGCACUCUUCCAUUGUUAAUCUAACAAGCAUGGCUAAACUUCCUCCAGAUCACAAUUUAAAACUAUUUUAUGUAAAUAUAUUAGUGUUGUGUCUUUAAUCUUUCAUGUGUAUAAGUUUGGAAAAAGUUAUUAGUAGUCCACAUUCCCAAAAAAAUAGAAUCAAUAUAACUAGAGUAAUUAAAGCCAAAAGCUGCAUGGGCCACUCUUGUUGUCAUUGGCCGGUCUAGUUAUUGGUUUGUUUUGUGACGUGAUGUUUAUCAGCUGCCAAGCAGAUGGACAGGCAGCAUUACUUUCUGUGUUCCUAGUUAAUAGUGGGUGCUAAUGUCCCAAGGGACCGGGGCCAUGACCUCUGCCCACCUUGAGCAGCGUCUGAGCCCCCAUGCGACGCGCUUCGUGUUGGGUCUUAUGGCUUCCUCUACACAAAGUUGUUGGUUAUUUGCCUCUGGUGCUCGAACAGGUCUUCUAUCUCUGCGCUGUAUGCAUCUCCUUGAAGCGGGGAGAAGAGAGUCAGCAGUGACAGAGUGGUGUCGGGAAAAGUGGUGGAAAAUGGAUGCUCACCUGCGUGACAUCCGUACAUGAAAGCUCUGUGGCCGUCGUAUUUGCAGCGACAUCGCAUAACGUUGUUCAUAAAGUCCGACUCGGCCAUGUCCAUGGAGGGGUUGACUUCCACCUAAUAGAUGAACGCAAUCAUCAGUGCCAGAACAGGAGAAGAUUGCAAACAAGGAAUGACUCUUCAAGGUGAGAAAACCAUUUUCAAGUAUUGUUUUACGGCCCAUCCGUCACUUAUCCAUAAAAAUCCGGAUGACUUUUCCAUGCACCGCCUCCAUCAAGGACCUCGGAGUGAUGCUCAUUUUGUGCACUCUACACUGAAUCCCAUUGAGAUUAAUGCCAUUGUAAACACCAAACAAAAACACUACAAUUGGUUAUGUAACUUUACAGCUGUGGUUGACGCUGUGUGGUUGCACUGCCACCCGCUGACAAGGAGUUACUUUACACUCCGUAACUCCACAGUUAGUUCGACUCAAAGCUUAUUCGUGAGAGUCUGUUAGUUGCAGGGCAACUUUCUUAACUGCUGAUAUGACCUUUCUCUCAAGUGAUUCAGUUUAAUAGCUGCUCUGUAAAAAUGCUACACCCACUUUAAAUACAGGUUAGACACACUUACAUGGAGAAAGGCGGCAAACUACAAGAAACAAACUUGAGGGCAAUGGUCUCGGAAAAAUGUGGCGCUUUUUCAUUUGGGUUUUUUGACAUUGAAGUUUCAAGUACAGAUGCGAACGUUAAAAUGACCUCCAAAAACGCUGUAAUUUGCAUUCAUAAUUUGCAUUUGCGAUGGCACUUUGCCAAGAAACAUAGCAUAUGUGUGGAAUUUGUCCUCACAGUCUCUUCACAAUUUGAAACAAUUAUUAUUAAAAUAAUUCAUUCAAUAUGUUAAUCAGAUUUGUUCUUUGUACUCAGCGGUUGUCAGAGUUUUUAUCAAAUUGUAUUUUGAACUGAAACAUUUCCAGACCAGUGGAUUGGAACGGAUGGCCCAAUUACCCUGCCACCUCAUUCACCAGAUCCCACUCCACUUCUUUCUGUGGGGUUACGCUAAAGAUAUCGUGUAUCAAGCAAAGAUUGGGGACAUCAACAACCUGAAGAAAAAGCUCAUUGAAGCCAUUACCACCAUUGAUGCUUUGCGAAGAGUGAGGCAAUAGUUCAUUUGGGCAAUUGGUGUGUUUCAUUAGUGCUGGUUGGCACAGGGAGGAGAGUUUGUUGAAUCUUUAUGCAAAAGUCAGACUCAGAAAUGUCAAGGUUUAGUGGCUCGAACUCAGUUUUUAUCCCCCACACUUACGCAUAGAAGUGCAGUACAACUUUGUAAUUACGACCCAAGUAGCACAGAAAAAUCAUCCAGUCACCAUGCAAAUGCAAACAUGCGUCUGUUUGCGUUCAUUACACGUAAAUUAAGUAAAUGUUUGUUCAACAGACAAGUGUAAUUACAGUGAUCAAGCAUCUCAGACAAACAGCAAUAAUUAUCAGCCAAGAGUUCCACGACAAGCAAGCGGCCUCCCGCAAAUGCAAGGUCACUGGCAAGCGUGCUAAGAGCUACAGCGGCAUAAAUUGGUGGGAUCGGCGGUGUGAGAGCAAGAUGGAGGAUAAUGAGGAGUUGCAGUCCUUGAUGUGUUUUCCUCUAGUAACCGCAGACCUGAUGGAUUGGCCAAGACUCAAAUAAUGACAGAGAGAGGGAGGAUGCUUGAGGUAGGACUUUUGGGGAGGUCGGGAUACUCCAACAAAAAUAGACAACCAAGAGAAGAGUCGACCUUGCGUGACCGUGGAAUCCUUUGGUGUAAAACGUUACUGCUCAAAAGUGUCAAAUCUUUAAGGAAGCUGAAGAUGUAAUCUGUCUUAUUUGGCAAUACCGCUUUCAAUACCGCUUUAAGCACCUCCAACAACUCAAUCUGUAGCGCCACCAAAAAUCAAAUGCAAAUGCAAAUAAACAGUCUAUAUUGGUUAAAAUGGUACAUCUAAAUUCAAAUCUCCUAUAGUCACCUUUACACUCCUAUUAUUCUUGGUUUACAACACAUUGCUCAACUGACUGCCACUUUAGACAUAGCAUGCAUAGCAUAGCAUAGCAAUUUAUUUAUUCUAAACUUAAGAAAUGGUUUCAAAUGGAGUGAGGAAGAAGGACAUUGUAAGAAACCAAAAACGUACCACUUCCACACGGAAAUGGAAGAACUUUUUUUUACUAUGUCAUGUUAGAUAUGCCAUGGCUGAUUCCAUGCAGUGGAAGGUAAUCUAAUUUAUUUUAUCUCUCAGCAGUGUAACAUUACUGACGCCUACUGACCAGAGCACUACAUAUAACUUGUCUUUCAGUAUGUAUUUUUUGACUAGUAAUAGUCCAUAGUCAACCACGAAACGGCGAACAUGUAUCAAUUAAUUGAUUUUUGAAAACCGCAAGUAGGGAGUAAGGGAGCAAAGAUCAAACCACGACGUAGCGAGGGACGACUGUAUCCUCAAAGUUGUAUAAUCAUUAGACAAAUUAUCAUCGACUUACAAUUACUUCUUAAGUCCCACCUGUGAAAUAUUCUACUUUGUGCUUACGGGGUACGACGAUAAAAUGUUCCAGUCAGUUCUUAACUUAAAAAUAGUAAAUUAGUAUUUACGUUGUUAAUGAAUAAAUCAUUUGAUUCUUAGCAGUCCAGACAGCAAACAUAAUCUGUUCUUUUAGCAGCCUUGAUCAUGUUUUAAAAAUAGUUACCAAAUAACUUCAUGCAGCGAUCUUAUAGCAACAUAUCACACUGAUUUCUAUGCAGAACCAGUUGCCAGUAAAUAUUAAUAUUUCUGCAUGUUUCAAUCAUUUUCCAAUGUUUGGACGUUUUCUCAAUUGUCAUAACGUUGAAAUACUGCAAAGCUCGACAAUAGUCAGUUCAAUAGUCAGUUCUCAGGGAUGGAUGAGCAUGUUCUGACCUGAAAGAUGUAAUCUCCAGGCCGUACGUCCGUCACAUCCACCCACUGACAGUCGAUAUCGUGGCGGUAGGUGUCCCAGCAGCCCACAGAGAUACCCUGGUCACCCAUGUUAUAACAAGAAAAGCGCUUUUGGACACCUAAAACGGAAAGGAAAAAAAGAGAAAUCCCAUUAACGUAACGCUUGGCACUUUAUUUGGCUUUGUUAUGAAUGCUGCUUUUCCAUACAAGCUAUUUCAUCCAUGAUAUAACAAGCAAAUGGAGAGUGAACAAUAACAAGCACAGCAGCGAUCUAAUACAUUAACCACCGAGUACAUAUCCACAUUGCCGCAGCUGAAAUACUGAUAUGAAUUUCCUGCCACUAAUGGGAAUAUUUUUUAGGGGGAACGGUGGGUGGUGAUUAUUACCAUCAGGGCAAUGCGUGUCCUCCAGACAGAAACUGGCCUUAUGUCCCUCCGCGACCCUGGUGCCAUUGAGAGUCAGCAGGUCGUAAUGUGUGAACACCUCGAUGCUGUGGUAAUGCCUGAAACGAAAGAGAACGUGCAGGUGAGAGAGAGCGUGCUUUUCUGCUUGCACCAGUUGACACUGAAUGAACACUGCUUCCCUAUGGCCUGUAGCCUUAUGACCUCACUGCAUGAACAUGAGCAUGGGUGUCACCAUAACACCUCUCACAGAAGCGUGUUUUAGCGCCUGUUUACUCGCGCCCGCUGAAUGGGGGUCUUUGAAAGACGCCUCCUUAGCGCCAAUACGUUGUCGAAACAACCUGCGGGCCUUCGCUGUCCUUUGUACUCGACUCGUGCUAAAUGGGAUUGCAUCAUACGCAUUUUUCAUGCUCUUGCAAGGUUUUGUAUGCCGCUGUUCAGGGUCACAGAGACGUUGGCACUCACUUUGGUUUGCGUCAGAACUCGAUAACGAAAAACGACGGAGAAGAGCGAGUGUUUCCUGUGUUUACUUGUCGUAAGAAGACCAUUUUUAUUCUAGAGGAGCUUGAAGGUAGCAAGAAAACAAAAGACUGUAUUAAUCCUGCGGGGUCCCAUUAGUGUGUGUUUAUUUUUGUCAUUUCUAUCAUCUAUCCCUAAAUGUUACAAUUAAAGAAAUUUAAAUAAAACUCGGGAUGCUCCGAUAAGGGUUUUAUGUUGCGGAUUCUGAUACCGAUCAUCUAUGAGUGAAAUCGGCCGAUACCGAUACCAAUCACAUAGAUUAAGUGUACAUAUUUAAAUGUACUAUUGGCUAUAUGAUAUGAAAAGGGGAACCAUAAAAUCACCUUCAUUUAGAUGAAAACAUUUGAUUUACUUUUUCAAGAGAACAUAUAUCACUGGUGAAACUUGGAGGAUUAGACGCCUUCUUUAAGGAGACUUUGGUGUUGCGAGAGCACACAGCUUGAUGGCACUCCAGCAGGACCCCCGUCGGCAAACCCGGUGUCUUUCACCGCACAUCCAGUCCGAUGAAUCCAACCACUUUUCGGGCUAUCCGCCUCAGACUGCCACGCACACACGGGCGAGUAUCCAGCGUUGGCCCCAUUAACCGUCGCCCCCGUGAGCCGCCCCACAAAUGCACCAAACUAAAGCUUUUUAAAGCGGCAACCUGGCGAGAUAUUUUACGUGGCAUGUUUUGUACGGUCCAAGACUUAUAUCGCUUGUACAAACGACAGAUAAGACCCACAUGACAGACACUGUUUUGGCUUUGACACGCCUGCGCAGUGUGAAGAAACAUGGGCGGGAGUCGCUCCAGCGAAAAUGGUCGAUUUUGAUCAGUGGCCAAUCAAUGGGAGCACUUCUACAAUGGCAUAUUAUUGGGUUUGGAAGAUAAUUUACAUACAGUAUGUAGAUACAUAGGUACUUUCCAAUCCCCCACUGUGUGUGUGUGAGACUACUGGGGAUUCCCCCGAAAAUGAGGCUUUAUCACUGGUUGCAUGUAGUUUUUUACUUCAGAUUAUGGUUUAUCAUAUUAGUUAAACGUUCCCCUUCAGUUUGCUAUCUGAUUUAUAUGGAGAGUUAAAUCAUAGCGAUCAUGAGUGAGCAAAGAAAGUGGAGUUCAAACAGAAGACUGCAACAUGAGAUUGGAUAAAAGGUAUGUAGGACGAUUACAUAUCUAAUAUAUCAGUGCUCAUGUGAAAUUUUUAUCAAAAUCUGGCUAUGAGAAAUACCAUUUUUUGAUGCGGAAUUAUUAUGUUAAAAAUUUUAAGUCAAUUAAGAAAAAUAAAAUAAAAAGAUACUUUUCAUAGGCUGAAAUCGCCAAGUAUUGAAAUGCCAUUGGGUUCGGAUAAAUAACGAGAAGGAUACAGAUUUUUUUGUUAAAUUGGCGAUUAUUCUCGAUCACAGCUUUUGUCUUCUGUCAAUGUCAAAACAAUAGGGUACAACUGCGUAUUUCGCGACUUAGUUACUGUUAGUUAAUCAUCCCUAUCCUAUGUAAAAUUGCUAUCUACUGUAAACAGUGUCUCUAAAAAGGUUAGCUUAGGCUAGUUAGAUAACGCCGACUAGCUAACUGCAUUGUCAUUACAGACUGCUGGAAAUUCAGAAAUAUCCCACUUUCAAGAACCUCAAAAUGUAUAACAAGAAAAAACAUGAUUUAACUUAAUAAGCUCUUAUUUACUUUGUUUGAUUACUACUAAACACUUUUGGGGGCUGCUUUGCUAUUUUUUUAAUAAUAAAAUGACUUCAUACAGACAGGAUGCAGUAUUAGCCCGCUAGCUAGCGUACUGCUAGUUGCUAGCCAAACAGCAAAAUGAUAUUUUGUGUUGACUCUGUGACAUUAAAAAGAGGGGUCGAAAACAGAUUUGAUAGUGAACUUUAUAUCAGUUUGUGUCUCUCUUUGAUACAAACUGAUCUUUAACCAGAACUUUAGACGUCAGUUUUUGGGUUCUGACACCAACUACAGCUCCACGCACACGGUAACACACAUACAUGAUUAUUUUUCUGUAACUGUAUGACUGUCUCAGUCACCUAACACUGUGUGCUCCUUCUUCUCGAGUGACCUGAACGUGAAAGGCCCCUUAGGUGCUCGCGUCAUCUGAAAAAGCAACUAAUGGAGCAAAGCUUGCUGAGUGCAGGAGUGGAAUGACGUACAGCGCGCCUGGUGACCACUUCUCAUCUAUUCACAGCUGCUGAGUAAGUUCAGGGUCACAGCAGUGGAUGGAGACUAUCCCUGCUGAUUUAAGGUGGGCUUCAUCCUGCACUGGGAAAUCUGUCCCACACCAGCUGCAUGACAGUCGGCCAUGUGAACCACUAGACUACCAAUGGCACAGCAAAGCCCAGACCCAGCUGUCUGCACACCACCAUGGCCUCGUUGAUGCCCCAGUUCUCACUACAGACGGAACCCCAACGUUUACGGCCACCAACUUCCAUCAGCACCUCCACUCUGCCCUCGGAUGGAACCCUCCCACCAGCCAGCCGCACCUGAAAACACAUUCAGAGGCGCCAUGCAGUGCAUCCUUGGCAGAACCGAAGCCCAGCUCUCUGCACACCACGCUGGCAGCAGUCCUCUCCCACAUGUGGUCCACGAUCGUCCCCCAUUUUCCAUCUCGGAGCACCUCCACACGUCCCUCACCCAGCCUGGGCCCGGCCUUCAGACGCACCGGCUACACGGAGGAGGGGGCAGGGCUACGGGGGAAUGACAGCUGAGCGUGGCACUCGGACAGCGUGUUCUCACUGCCCAGACAGUUGACUUUCUCCAUCCAGAAGCCCUUCUUCUUGGCCAUGACGCUCAACCUUAAAAAUGCAAAAGCAAAAUAAAAGGAGGCUAGAUAACGCCAAAGGAAUGGAGAGUACCAGGAGCGACUUGAAAGGAUCUCAACGAGAGGCGAAAAUGCAUUCUUUUGCCUGGGUCAGCCAUGGCAGUAAGAGCAGCGUUCCAGCCAGGAGCCCCCAUCACACCUCCACCUAUGAACAACAAACAACCUGGUCCAGGAUGAAGGCCUCUUACCAGGGAAGAUCUCCUCAGUCACAGCAGCACCCCCCAGCACAUGUCUGCGCUCCAACACUGCUGUCUUCAAGCC